GGAUGCGAUCAUACCAGCACUAAAGCACCGGAUCCCAUCAGAACUCCGAAGUUAAGCGUGCUUGGGCUCGAGUAGUACUAGGAUGGGUGACCUCCUGGGAAGUCCUCGUGUUGCAUUCC
rnacentral:rRNA from 1 species